rnacentral:rRNA from 1 species
GACGAACGCUGGCGGCGUGCUUAACACAUGCAAGUCGAACGGAAAGGCCCUGCUUUUGUGGGGUGCUCGAGUGGCGAACGGGUGAGUAACACGUGAGUAACCUGCCCUUGACUUUGGGAUAACUUCAGGAAACUGGGGCUAAUACCGGAUAGGAGCUCCUGCUGCAUGGUGGGGGUUGGAAAGUUUCGGCGUUUGGGGAUGGACUCGCGGCUUAUCAGCUUGUUGGUGGGGUAGUGGCUUACCAAGGCUUUGACGGGUAGCCGGCCUGAGAGGGUGACCGGCCACAUUGGGACUGAGAUACGGCCCAGACUCCUACGGGAGGCAGCAGUGGGGAAUAUUGCACAAUGGGCGGAAGCCUGAUGCAGCAACGCCGCGUGCGGGAUGACGGCCUUCGGGUUGUAAACCGCUUUCGCCUGUGACGAAGCGUGAGUGACGGUAAUGGGUAAAGAAGCACCGGCUAACUACGUG